rnacentral:rRNA from 1 species
GGAUUCCACUUCAUGAAGUCGAUUGCAGAUUCAAUCCGGACUGGACUGUUUUGGGGAUUGGCCAAGAACUUGCGUUUCAGCUACCCUUUGUAACAGCCAUUGUAUCACGUUUGUAGCCCAGGUCAUAAGGGGCAUGCUGAUUUGACGUGAUCCUCACCUUCCUCCAAUUUAUCAUUGGCAGUCUCGUUAAAGUCCCCACCAUAACGUGCUGGCAACUAACGAUAAGGGUUUCGCUCGUUUUAGGACUUAACCUAACAUCUCACGACACGAGCUGACGACAACCAUGCACCACCUGUGUUUCUGGUAACCUCCACGAUAUUACUAUCAUUUUGCAAAAACAUGUCAAGACCUGGUAAGGUUUUUCGGGUAUCUUCGAAUUAAACAACAUGAUCCACCGCUUGUGCGGAGUCCCGUCAAUUCCUUUAAGUUUCAUACUUGCGUACGUACUACUCAGGCGGAGUACUUAAUGUGUUAACUUCAGUACCGGUUUAACCCGACACUUAGUACUCAUCGUUUACGGCGUGGACUACCAGGGUAUCUAAUCCUGUUUGCUCCCCACGCUUUCGUGCCUCAGCGUCAGUUAAGACCCAGCGAGCCGCCUACGCCUCUGGUGUUCCUCCAUAUAUUUACGCAUUUUACCGCUACACAUGGAAUUCCACUCGCCUCUAUCUAACUCAAGUUUAGCAGUUUCAAUAGCCGGACAACGUUAAGCGUUGCCAUUACACCACUGACUUACUAGACCGCCUACGCACCCUUUACGCCCAAUAAUUCCGGAUAACACUUGCCCCUUAUGUCUUACCGCGGCUGCUGGCACAUAAUUAGCCGGGGCUUAUUCAUCAAGUACCGGCAAACAAAUGGUUCGCCACUUGCUUUUCUUCCUUGAUAAAAGAACUUUACAUACCGAAGUACUUCGUCAUUCACGCGGCGUUGCUCGGUCAGAGUUUCCUCCAUUGCCGAAAAUUCCCUACUGCUGCCUCCCGUAGGAGUUUGGGCCGUGUCUCAGUCCCAAUGUGGCUGUUCAACCUCUCAGUCCAGCUACACAUCAUCGUCUUGGUAGGCCAUUACCC